rnacentral:lncRNA from 1 species
UUCUUUCUACCGACCAGUGGUCCACGUGAAGAUGCAACUCGUAUUGGAUCUGCUGGAGUUGUUAGGCGUCAGGCUGUGGAUAUUUCACCUCUGAGACGUGUGAAUCAGGCUAUCUAUCUCCUCACAACCGGCGCUCGUGAGUCUGCUUUCAGGAACGUCAAGACUAUUGCAGAGUGUUUGGCCGAUGAACUUAUUAAUGCUGCCAAAGGUUCCUCUAACAGGUACUGACGACUUGUUUCAUAUGCACGUUGCCUAUUACUUGUUAUUUUCUCUCCAAACUCUUAUUUCUGUGCUUUUUUCAUCUGUUUCCCUUGAUUCAUUGGUUUCUUUCCUGACUAUUUGUGCUCCUUUUUGUGCAGUUACGCAAUCAAGAAGAAGGAUGAGAUCGAACGAGUCGCUAAGGCCAACCGUUAAGGAGCUGCCGAAAUUUUUUAUGACGCGGGAGUUUUGUCUGCGUUUUGUUUAUUCGAUUGUUGCUUAAGAAGUAGUCGGAUUUACCCUUGAGCAUGAGAAUUGUGUCAUUUUUUUUGUUAUGAAGAUCUCAAUUAAUCUUGUUGAGUUGAAUUUUAUUUGAAUUAUGAUACAUUUGAAUAGUAAAUUUUCAAAACCUUAGUAGCUGUUGACAAACAACCCCACUCGGGGUAAGAAGUUGCAAAAACAAGAACAUAAUUGUAUAAAAUCUCUUGUGAAAAGUUUAAAUUUAAAUAAUAAAAGUUGGAAAAACACUAAAACCAUAGGCUUUUGCAGUAUAGAAAGGGAAUUUUAACGAAAAGUUUCUGGUACUGUUUACUUAAACGAAAAUUCAUAUUUUUGCACUAAAAAAUCAAUUCUGGUACUAUUCAUUUUAUCCUUUAAUUUGUUAUUAUCGUUAAAAUUCAAAGUUUUCAAGUCUUUUUCAUUAGUUUUCCUGUAUAAAAAAAAAUUAAGUGUGUAAAGAAUAUGUGUAUGGUGUUUUAUCAUAGUUUGCCGCCAUCUCUCUCCUCCCCUUAAAAGUGAUUGCUUUCUGUCAUUUUGAUAAAGCAUAAUCUGGAAAUUAGGAUUUUCGAUAUAGACACUUUAAAAAUUUGAAAUAAAUAAAAUAGGCAAAUUCACUUUCGGUCCUUACAGUUUAGUUAAAGAUCACUUUUGAUCUCUAUUGUUUCAACUAUCUCAAUUUUAGUUCAUGUAGUUUCUCAAACUAUGUAAUUGAAUGACACAUUACAUUUUUCAUCCAAAUUUGAAUUUUAAUAUAAACACUUUAAAAAUAUAAAUAAAUAAACUAAUAAUAUAGGCAAAAUUUCACUUUCGAUCUUUAUAGUUUAGUUGAAGUUCACUUUUAUUCUCUAUGGUUCCAAUUGUCUCAAUUUUAGUUCAUGUAAUUUCUCAAACUACGCAAUUCAAUGAAACGUUACAUUUUUUAUCCAGUCAAUUAACUACUAAACUAGAAAAAGCAUGUGUCACUUAGAUGCAUGGGCAUUUUAGUAAUUUAAUAGCAAAUAGAUAAAAAAAAAAUACAGCGUGUCCUCGAGUUGCAUCGUUUGCAAAAGUACAAGGACUAAAAUUGAUACAAUUGAAACCACAGGGACCAAAACCGAAAUUCAAUAAAAAUAUAGGGACCAAAAGUGAAAUUUGGCCAACAAAAUUAGAAGAAAGGUAAACUAGACCCGACCCGAGAUCCAAAGCCCUAGCUGAUAAAAUGACCCUCUUCCUCUCACUCUUAGCCGUUUCCUAGUCUUCAGCGAUUCAGCACGCCCUCCCCGGCACCUCUCGCUCACUCGUCUGAAAUUCGAACCUCUCGGUCAGUCCUCUUCUCUCUCACCCACCUCCGCCGCUUCCCGUCGUUGAUAGCGUAACUUUCGCAUAACAUCUGUUACUUACUGUGAAACUGGAUUUAAUUAUCAUUAGGCUAUUCCUUUAAUUAGAAUUAGAUUUGAAUUUUUAGUUGGGUAUGUUGAUUGAAAUGCGAAAUUAGGGUUCACGGUGCUAAAGUGAUUAAGUUAGGGAUUUACUGAUUUGUAUCCUUUUCCCCUUUUAUUUUUAUUGGAAUUUUAUUUACAUCAGUUUCGUUGCUUGAUUAGUAGAAACAUAUGGGUUAGGGUUCCCAUAAUUUUUUAAAAUUUAUUUAAAAUUUGAAGCAUUUGAGGCACUGUGAUUGUUCUGCAAUCUCAUUUUCUGGUUUUUUGAUAUUAUUGCGAAGUUUGAUUAUAAGCAUAUUGCUUUGCAGCUUGGUUUUAAUGGCAGCUAUUACCAAAUAUUUUUAUAAUUUUUUUAUUGUACCAACGACUUAUCGCGCCAAUGCUCAGACUUUCCUAGCUUUAAUUGUGUUUAUACAGAACCAUGGCUGCUGCUGAUGUACCUCUUCCUGUAGCCGAACCAACGCAGCCUCACUAUGACGUGAAGCUGUUCAACAAGUGGAGCUUUGAUGAUGUCCAGGUUUCUGGAUUUUAUUAUUUGACUUAGUGAAUUAUAUUUUUCUCUUAUCUGUGAUGAUUUAGAUGAAAUAAGGUUUCCUUCAACGUGUAUGUUUACAGCUACAAUAGGCUUAAUGUAGGUAGGUUUGAGCUAUUAUACUCUGUUUUAGAAUAUACUGAUGGUUGGAUACUAACUGAGGCAACUUUUAUGUUCGUUUUGUUGUUGGGUAGUUGUAAGUAACAUGACGGGUUUCUGCCUCAGCCUCAAUAUAUUGAUUGGAUUUGUUUUUUUAAAUGUUUAGAAAUGUGUGUGGCCUCCUUGUGGCCGUCUUGUGUUAAAUUCACUGUAGGCAUCUUUAUGUUUGUUUCUUUGUGGGUCGUUGUAAAUAACGUGAUGGAUGUGUGGCUCAAAUGUCAAUAGAUUUAUUGGAUUUGAUCUAGAAAUAUGCGUGUCCUCCUUGUGGCUGUCAUGAGUUAGAUUCACUGUAUGUCUAACAAAGUAGGCUUAAGUUUAUUGCACUUGUUUCGGUGACAUGUAUGUUGUGUCGUCCUGAAUAUGCUGAUUUUGUUUUUACUGUGAUUUUCAAAUUUAUACUGAUAAAGUCAGCAUUUAUGUAUGUUUUGGUUUAUUUCAUGUGUAUCUUACAGCUUGUCCUCGCUAUUAAGUGUUUCUAUUGAUUGAUUGGUUUUUUUGCCUCAAGUUGUUUUUUGUUUUGUUUAGACGCUGAAAAGGAUUUUGUCGACAAAAGCUUGUUAAUUUUAUUGUCUUGCAUCUUCUAAUGUAUGGACUAAUUUUUUUUAUGUGAUUCUUCAUCACAUCUAUUUCCCUUAUUUAUGUGGAAUGAUAACGUAUAAUUUUAACAUGUAGGUCAGUGACAUUUCACUGGCGGAUUACAUUGGAGUUGCACCUUCCAAGCAUGCAACUUAUGUACCUCACACUGCUGGGAGAUACUCAGUCAAACGAUUCAGGAAAGCUCAGUGCCCUAUUGUGGAGAGGCUUACAAACUCUCUCAUGAUGCACGGGAGAAACAAUGGAAAGAAACUCAUGGCUGUCAGGAUUGUUAGGCACGCGAUGGAAAUUAUCCAUUUGCUAACUGAUCUGAACCCAAUCCAAGUUAUUGUUGAUGCUGUCGUUAACAGGUACGUACGCAAAUAUGUUAAUAUCUUUCUCAUGGUAAUAAGAUGUGCUGUGCUUUGUGUAGUCCCUUGUUUGAUGCUUGACCAGAUGCUCAUGUGCCCUUUAGUAUAGUUUUUCUGAUUACAUGUGAUUUUUAUAUCUGUUUGGAUUACAAUGGAUAUGACCAUUCUUCUUCUUUGAAUUCUGUGUGUUUGUAUAUCCUUGUUUUAUUUCUCAUGUUGUAUGUCUUCUUUGUGCCAAUCAGUGGUCCACGUGAAGAUGCAACUCGUAUUGGAUCUGCUGGAGUGGUUAGGCGUCAGGCUGUGGAUAUCUCACCUCUGAGACGUGUGAAUCAGGCUAUCUAUCUCCUCACAACUGGUGCUCGUGAGUCUGCUUUCAGGAACGUUAAAACUAUUGCUGAAUGUUUGGCUGAUGAACUUAUUAAUGCUGCCAAAGGUUCCUCUAACAGGUAGUGCGCUUAUUUGCCUAUUACACUUUAUUUUCUCCAAAGCUCUUUCAUCUGAGUUUGCUAUUUCCGUUUAAGUUAUGUUCUUUCCAUUGAUUCGUUGUUUCUUCGCUGACGAUUAGUGGUGUUUUAUCUGC